CCUACGGGGGGCUGCAGUGGGGAAUAUUGCACAAUGGGGGAAACCCUGAUGCAGCGACGCCGCGUGAAGGAAGAAGGUUUUCGGAUCGUAAACUUCUAUCAGCAGGGAAGAAGAAAGUGACAGUACCUGACUAAGAAGCCCCGGCUAACUACGUGCCAGCAGCCGCGGUAAUACGUAGGGGGCAAGCGUUAUCCGGAAUCACUGGGUGUAAAGGGUGCGUAGGCGGUAGGGCAAGUCAGAUGUGAAAGCCCGGGGCUCAACCCCGGGAUUGCAUUUGAAACUGUCUUACUAGAGUGCAGGAGUGGAGAGCGGAAUUCGUGGUGAGGCGGUGAAAUGCGUAGAUAUUUGGAAGUACUCCAGUGGCGAAGGCGGCUUGCGUGUCUGGAACAGAUUGAGUGGAACGAAAGCGUAGGGGGCGUGCAGGAGUGGAUACCAUUGUAGUG
rnacentral:rRNA from 1 species